rnacentral:rRNA from 1 species
UACGUAGGGUGCAAGCGUUGUCCGGAAUUAUUGGGCGUAAAGAGCUCGUAGGCGGUUUGUUGCGUCGGCUGUGAAAUCCCGAGGCUCAACCUCGGGUCUGCAGUCGAUACGAGCAAACUAGAGUGUUGCAGGGGAGACUGGAAUUCCUGGUGUAGCGGUGAAAUGCGCAGACAUCAGGAGGAACACCGGUGGCGAAGGCGGGUCUCUGGGCAACAACUGACGCUGAGGAGCGAAAGCGUGGGGAGCGAACAGG